rnacentral:rRNA from 1 species
AGAGUUUGAUCAUGGCUCAAGACGAACGCUAGCGGCGGGCUUAAUACAUGCAAGUUAGGGGGGCAGCAAUGCUCACCGGCGUACGGGUGCGUAACACGUAUAUAACAUACCCUUUAGGGGAGGAUACAUCAAAAAAAUUCGGGAUAAAACUCCGUAAGCUAAUGGUAGGGCAUCCUACUAUUAGGAAAAUUUCUAAAGGAUUGGUAUGCGUCUGAUUAGCUAGUUGGCGAGGUAACGGCUCACCAAGGCGACGAUCAGUAGCUGGUCUUAAAGGAUGAUCAGCCACACUGGCACUGAGACACGGGCCACACUCCUACGGGAGGCAGCAGUAGGGAAUAUUGGUCAAUGGACGCAAGUCUGAACCACCCACGCCGCGUGUGGGAUGAAGGCCUUCGGGUUGUAAACCACUGUCAGAGGGGAUGAAGUAUACGAGAGUUAUCUCUUGUAUUUGACAGAGCCUCAGAGGAAGCACGGGCUAAGUUCGUGCCAGCAGCCGCGGUAAUACGAACUGUGCGAACGUUAUUCAGAAUCACUGGGCUUAAAGGGUGCGUAGGCGGUUAUCUAAGUCAGGUGUGAAAUCUCUCGGCUCAACCGGGAAACUGCGCUUGAAACUGGAUGACUGGAGGGAUGCAGGGGGUGUGUGGAACUUCCGGUGGAGCGGUGAAAUGUGUAGAUUAUCGGAAGGACGCCAGCAGCGAAAGCGCACACUGGUCAUCUACUGACGCUGAGCACGAAGCUAAGGGAGUGACGGGAUAGAUACCCCGUCAUCUAGCGUAACCUGACGCUGGAAAGGAGUUCUGUCUUUCUUCAGUACGAAUGAUAUCGUCGCUGAGAGAUAUGCCCGAGCUAACUCGAGAUUGACGGCCACACGUACGUGCUAUCAGCGCGAGACUUAUCUGGAUUUAGC